GCUCCGGUGGUGUAGCCCGGUUAAGAUUUUAAUCACUGAAAGCAUAGCGGCCUUAUCUUAAGGCUUAAAAGCCUUAGAGGCCAAUCGAGCCGCUGAUCGCGGGUUCAAAUCCCGCCCGGAGCACCA
rnacentral:tRNA from 1 species